UACGAAGGGUGCAAGCGUUACUCGGAAUUACUGGGCGUAAAGCGUGCGUAGGUGGUUGUUUAAGUCUGUCGUGAAAGCCCUGGGCUCAACCUGGGAACUGCGAUGGAAACUGGGCGACUAGAGUGUGGUAGAGGGUAGCGGAAUUCCUGGUGUAGCAGUGAAAUGCGUAGAUAUCAGGAGGAACAUCCAUGGCGAAGGCAGCUACCUGGGCCAACACUGACACUGAGGCACGAAAGCGUGGGGAGCAAACAGG
rnacentral:rRNA from 2 species